GAUGAAGAACGUAGUGAAAUGCGAUACGUAAUGUGAAUUGCAGAAUUCAGUGAAUCAUCGAAUCUUUGAACGCAUAUUGCGCUCUCUGGUAUUCCGGAGAGCAUGCUUGUUUGAGUAUCAGUAAACACCUCAACUCCCCUUUCUUUUUUUGAAAUGGGAGCUGGACUUGAGUGAUCCAAACGCUUUUCUCACCGAAAAGUGGCGGGUUACUUGAAAUGCAGGUGCAGCUGGACUUUUCUCUGAGCUAAAAGCAUAUCUAUUUAGUCUGCCUAAAAAACAGAUUAUUACCUUUGCUGCAGCUAACAUAAAGGAGAUUAGUUCUUGUGCUGACUGAUGCAGGAUUCACAGAGACAGCUUCGGCUGGCCUUUGUAAACUCGAUCUCAAAUCAAGUAAGACUACCCGCUGAACUUAAGCAUAUCAAUAAGCGGAGGA
rnacentral:misc_RNA from 1 species